GACGAACGCUGGCGGCGUGCUUAACACAUGCAAGUCGAACGGAAAGGCCCUGCUUUUGUGGGGUGCUCGAGUGGCGAACGGGUGAGUAACACGUGAGUAACCUGCCCUUGACUUUGGGAUAACUUCAGGAAACUGGGGCUAAUACCGGAUAGGAGCUCCUGCUGCAUGGUGGGGGUUGGAAAGUUUCGGCGGUUGGGGAUGGACUCGCGGCUUAUCAGCUUGUUGGUGGGGUAGUGGCUUACCAUGGCUUUGACGGGUAGCCGGCCUGGGAGGGUGACCGGCCACAUUGGGACUGGGAUACGGCCCAGACUCCAACGGGAGGCAGCAGUGGGGAAUAUUGCACAAUGGGCGGAAGCCUAGUGCAGCAACGCCGCGUGCGGGAUGACGGCCUUCGGGUUGUAAACCGCUUUCGCCUGUGACGAAGCGUGAGUGACGGUAAUGGGUAAAGAAGCACCGGCUAACUACGUG
rnacentral:rRNA from 1 species